AUGUUCUGCAGACGGGCAUGGCAGAGAGUCGGGCCGCUGGCACGGAGGUCUUUCAAGCCGACACACAGAUACGCUCCGGUGCGACACAUGGCCUUCGGUGUUCCCGGAGGCUCCACCAACAUGACGUACUUUGUUUUGUGUGGCGGCGGCCUCACUGCGGCAGUUGUUUAUGCAUACAAGACGGUCAACGAUGAUACCGAGCGUUACGAGGAAAGACUCGCCAACAUGGGCUCCAUGGCGAAGGCUUCUUCAGCAAAGGCAGCACCAGAGGCAGCUCCACCUGCAGUUGAGCCUGCACCAGUGGAGGAGGAAGCCCCUGCUGCUGAGGUCAUUGCUGAGUCGGCCACUGCUGCUGCUGCAGAACCUGUAGGAGAGACAGCUGCUGAACCUGUUGUGGAAGCUGCAUCUGAAGAAGCAGAAGCUGCCGCCGUCUCUGAGGCGGUCGUUCCAGAGGCAGCAGCUGAGACGGCAGCUGAGACGGCAGCUGAGUCAGCAGAGACGGAGGACGCCGCUCCACCUGUGGAGGCAGAGGUGUUUGCUGAAGCGGCUCUGGAGGCCCCAGCAGAGGAACCAGUGGCAGAAAACGCUGAGUCUGCACCAGAGCUGCUCACAGAUGUUAAGCUCUUGACCGGCUCAACAGCUGAAAUUGCUGCUGCUUCUGUUGGUGAGAAGAAUCCGAUGGAGACUGUCCAACAAACUGAAGGUGAAGGAAAGGGACACAAGGUGCUCGAAACAGAAGCUUUGGAAGAAGCCUCAGAGGCAGUGGCCAAGGAAGCAUCUGAAGAGGGAGCAGUUGUAGAAGGUGAGGAGGAGGUGAAGUCUGGAGAAGCUGUGGACAAGGAGGCAGCGGCUGGAUCUCAUCCUGAGGAAACAACAUCUCCAAUGCCCACUGUGGACGAGGCAGAGGCUGAAGUUCAACCUGCUCCUGAGGAGGCCAUCGCUGCUGAAGAUGCUGCUGAAGAUGAGGCUGUCUCCUCUGAAGAUGCUGCUCCUCCCGAGGAGGCCACAGUCACCGGUGAAGGUGCCCCACUGGAUGAGAUUUCAUCAGCUGACCAGGCAGCAGCUGAAACAUCUGCAGAGGAGACAGCUGAAGCUGCUGUCAGCACAACUCAGCUGGCAGCAGCCUCCGUUGGAGCGGACCUAGAGGUUCUUUCAGUUGCAGAAACAGAGCCUACAUCAGGAUCUCCUGUGCAUGAGGAGAAACCCUGCCACUCCUGCCACUCUGCUCCCUCAGCAGGAGAGGAGGUGGCGCCACCUGCUGCUGUAGGAGAGGAGCUGAUCGCCGAUGGAGCUGUGGAUACUUCACAAGAAGCCAAGGACGCAGCCUCAGCACAAAGUAAGAAUAAAAACUCCUCCACUCAAACACUGUUUCAGCUGAAAUGUUCCAACCUGGUCUGA
rnacentral:lncRNA from 1 species